GAGAAAACAUCCUGACGUCCUUGGAGUGGAUAAAAGAUGGUUGUUUCCCGGCCGUUAUCUGGUCGAAGGAGAGUUGGGCCUUGGGGAUCAGCGCGCUGGGCCGGGAAUUUCUGCCUACGUUCUGAGGCCGUCGCCUGGUGGCCCUCAUGCCGCAGGACCACGCUGGGCUUCCGCUUCCUUCUACCGCGGCCUGGUUCGCCGCCCAGUUUUCCGGCUUUCCAUUUACCUUACAAGAUUGAAUCUUAACUGCCUUGCUGCACACUUACUUCCGACAGUGUAGGAAGUGCCAUUAUGACUUCCAGUACCUUCUAGGACCUGUUGUCAAGUAUUAUGGAUAGGUAGAGCCACGAAGCCUCGCUCAAGUUACUGCUGCACCACAGUAGAAACGCCAGUGUGAAGCCAGUGAUGUUAGGGAGCCUCCUGGCUAUAUCUAUGUGUAACAGGCUUUCUUAUUUAGUUCUUGCUUCUUGCGUGUAUUUGUAUAUUUCUUAUACGUGAUUUUCAGCUUCCAGUUUAACUCAGGUGCCAAUCUUAAGGAAAAAAAUGUCAAAUUAGAAACUCUCGCUUUGGGUAACUGGUAAUAAAUCUUCUCCAGUGAAUACAAGGGAAACAGUCUUUCUGUAGAAUUAUUGCAUUUGCAAAAUAGAGAAUGAGGUCACAUAUCAAGCACAGGGGUGCACACACAGCAUAUUGGAAUCUUGGGGCCGGCCUGGUGGCGCAGAGGUUAAGUUCACAAGUUCAGCUUCUCCGUGCCCGGGGUUCGACGGUUGGGAUCCCAGGUGCGGACAUGGCACCGCUUGGCACGCCAUGCUGUGACAGGCGUCCCACAUAUAAAGUAGAGGAAGAUGGGCACGGAUGUUAGCUCAGGGCCAGGCUUCGUUAGCAAAAAGAGGAGGACUGGCAAAAGUUAGCUCAGGGCUGAUCUUCCUCAAAAAAAAAAAUAUAUAUAUAUGUAUAUAUAUAGGAAUCUUGUUUAUUAUGAUUGGUUCACCUGUCUUUCCCCUGGUAAAGGUGAGUUGCCUUUAAGGACACAGAUCCAACCUUGUUUUCAAUAUUGCUUUAUUAAAUAAACAUUUAUUGGGCUGAUAACAUUUUUAACUAGUGGCAAUUUC
rnacentral:lncRNA from 1 species